GCUCCUUGGUGAUUCAUAAUAACUAAACGAAUCGCAUGGCCUUGCGCCGGCGAUGGUUCAUUCAAAUUUCUGCCCUAUCAACUUUCGAUGGUAGGAUAGUGGCCUACCAUGGUAUCAACGGGUAACGGGGAAUUAGGGUUCUAUUCCGGAGAGGGAGCCUGAGAAACGGCUACCACAUCCAAGGAAGGCAGCAGGCGCGCAAAUUACCCAAUCCCGACACGGGGAGGUAGUGACAAUAAAUACUGAUACAGGGCUCUUUUGGGUCUUGUAAUUGGAAUGAGUACAAUUUAAAUCCCUUAACGAGGAACAAUUGGAGGGCAAGUCUGGUGCCAGCAGCCGCGGUAAUUCCAGCUCCAAUAGCGUAUAUUAAAGUUGUUGCAGUUAAAAAGCUCGUAGUUGAACCUUGGGCCUGGCUGGCCGGUCCGCCUCACCGCGUGUACUGGUCCGGCCGGGCCUUUCCUUCUGGGGAGCCGCAUGCCCUUCACUGGGCGUGUUGGGGAACCAGGACUUUUACUUUGAAAAAAUUAGAGUGUUCAAAGCAGGCCUUUGCUCGAAUACAUUAGCAUGGAAUAAUAGAAUAGGACGUGCGGUUCUAUUUUGUUGGUUUCUAGGACCGCCGUAAUGAUUAAUAGGGAUAGUCGGGGGCAUCAGUAUUCAAUUGUCAGAGGUGAAAUUCUUGGAUUUAUUGAAGACUAACUACUGCUAAAGCAUUUGUCAAGGAUGUUUUCAUUAAUCACUGAACGAAAGUUAGGGGAUGGAAGACGAUCAGAUACCGUCGUAGUCUUAACCAUAAACUAUAUAAGUUAGGGAUCGAUGAGGGUUGUCAUUUUUGAUUUCUUCACUAAGAUACGCCGAUCUAUAUU
rnacentral:rRNA from 1 species